GAUGAACGCUAGCGGCAGGCUUAACACAUGCAAGUCGAGGGGCAGCGUAAUGAAGUAGCAAUACGGAUUUGACGGCGACCGGCGCACGGGUGCGUAACGCGUAUGUAACCUACCUUUAACAGGGGGAUAACACUGAGAAAUUGGUACUAAUACCCCAUAAUACUUUAGGAGGCAUCUCCUUUGGUUGAAAGUCCCGGCGGUUAAAGAUGGACAUGCGUUGUAUUAGCUAGAUGGUGAGGUAACGGCUCACCAUGGCGACGAUACAUAGGGGGACUGAGAGGUUAACCCCCCACACUGGUACUGAGACACGGACCAG
rnacentral:rRNA from 1 species